rnacentral:rRNA from 1 species
UACGUAGGAGGCAAGCGUUAUCCGGAUUUAUUGGGCGUAAAGAGCACGCAGGUGGCUCUUCAAGUCAGAUGUAAAAUCUCCCGGCUUAACUGGGAGGGAUCAUUUGAUACUGUCGAGCUAGAGGGCAGCAGAGGGAGGUGGAAUUCCCGGUGUAGUGGUGAAAUGCGUAGAUAUCGGGAGGAACACCAGUGGCGAAAGCGGCCUUCUGGGCUGUUCCUGACACUGAGGUGCGAAAGCGUGGGGAGCGAAC